rnacentral:rRNA from 1 species
UACGAAGGGGGCUAGCGUUGUCCGGAUUUAUUGGGCGUAAAGAGCUCGUAGGCGGUUUGUCGCGUCUGCCGUGAAAGUCCGGGGCUCAACUCCGGAUCUGCGGUGGGUACGGGCAGACUAGAGUGAUGUAGGGGAGACUGGAAUUCCUGGUGUAGCGGUGAAAUGCGCAGAUAUCAGGAGGAACACCGGUGGCGAAGGCGGGUCUCUGGGCCGAUACUGACGCUGAGGAGCGAAAGCGUGGGGAGCGAACAGG